GACCCGAAAGAAGGUGAACUAUGCUUGUGAAGGUUGAAGCCAGAGGAAACUGGUAGAGGACCGUAGCGAUUCUGACGUGCAAAUCGAUCGUAUAACGUGAGUAUAGGGGCGAAAGACUAAUCGAACUAUCUAGUAGCUGG
rnacentral:ncRNA from 1 species